rnacentral:rRNA from 1 species
UACGUAGGGGGCGAGCGUUGUCCGGAAUCAUUGGGCGUAAAGCGCGUGUAGGCGGUUCGGUAAGUCUGCUGUGAAAGUCCAGGGCUCAACCCUGGGAUGCCGGUGGAUACUGCUGAACUAGAGUGCGGAAGAGGCGAGUGGAAUUCCUGGUGUAGCAGUGAAAUGCGUAGAUAUCAGGAGGAACACCGAUGGCGAAGGCAGGUCUCUGGGCUGACACUGACGCUCAUGCACGAAAGCGUGGGGAGCAAACAGG